GGCGAACGGGUGAGUAACACGUGAGCAACCUGCCCUAGGCUUUGGGAUAACCCUCGGAAACGGGGGCUAAUACCGAAUAUUACCUCCUGUCGCAUGGUGGGGGGUGGAAAGUUUUUCGGCCUGGGAUGGGCUCGCGGCCUAUCAGCUUGUUGGUGGGGUGAUGGCCUACCAAGGCGACGACGGGUAGCCGGCCUGAGAGGGCGACCGGCCACACUGGGACUGAGACACGGCCCAGACUCCUACGGGAGGCAGCAGUGGGGAAUAUUGCACAAUGGGCGGAAGCCUGAUGCAGCGACGCCGCGUGAGGGAUGACGGCCUUCGGGUUGUAAACCUCUUUCAGCAGGGACGAAGCGUAAGUGACGGUACCUGCAGAAGAAGCACCGGCCAACUACGUGCCAGCAGCCGCGGUAAGACGUAGGGUGCGAGCGUUGUCCGGAUUUAUUGGGCGUAAAGAGCUCGUAGGCGGCUUGUCGCGUCGACCGUGAAAACUUGGGGCUCAACCCCAAGCCUGCGGUCGAUACGGGCAGGCUAGAGUUCGGUAGGGGAGACUGGAAUUCCUGGUGUAGCGGUGAAAUGCGCAGAUAUCAGGAGGAACACCGGUGGCGAAGGCGGGUCUCUGGGCCGAUACUGACGCUGAGGAG
rnacentral:rRNA from 1 species